GAAAUCAAAGACUCAAGCAGGGCACGGUAGCGUGCACCUGUAAUCGCAGCUACUGGGGAGGCUGAGGUGGGAGGAUCACUUGAGCCCAGGAGUUUGAGGCUGCAUUGAGCCAUGAUCAUGCCACUGUACUUCAGCCUGGGCUACAGAGACAGACCCCAUCUCCAGAAAAAAAAAAAAAAAGUCAACAGUUCUUUCCCAGCCUUUUCCUCAUUUUCUAUAGAUCACUAUCACCUUCAAUAGAAAGUCCUGAUGCCUUGAGAGGACCUCACGGUCACAAUGAUCCAAUCCCUGCCAACCUUUCUGGCUUCACCUUUUAAGCUUUCGAGGCUUCCCUCUCAGUGAGCUGCCAGUAGUGGCUCAGAUGUGCCCCAGCCUGGCCUCCGGGUCUCUGAGCAAGUCCUUAUGCUGCAACGUCCCCUCUGUCUUCCCCUUGCUCUUCAGGCUAAGUCCUGCACAGCUGAGGGGCGGCCUCUUCCUGGAACCCUUCCCACCCUCUCCCAAAGCUCAGCUGGUGCCCUCCAGGAGUGGUGGGUUUUCUUGUGUCUCCUCUGUGGACAGCAAGCCCCUUGAGGCCAGUGACAUUCCUCAUGCAACUCUGCAUCCCUGGUACCCAGCAGGGGCUGGACCUGGGUAGGUAUCAGUGGGCAUCAAGUGAGUGAAUGAAUGAAUAAGGAACAGUGUGGAAUUGCUACUUCUAGCCUCAAUCAUUUUGUUCUCCAAACAUUUCCCAGGCACUUCCUCCACGUCAGGCCUGAUGCCAGCCCCGGGGAAGACGAUAACUCAGCCUUGCAAUUCACUUUGUGGUUCACAACGUGCUUCCAUUAUAAAAGUCCCAGCCACCCUGCAAAGCUCCCUCAACUCAGUCCUGCCUUUGCAUAUGCUGUUCUUUCGAUCAGAAACGCCUUCCCCCUUCGCUGUCCUGUGCCAGUUCUUCCAGGAAGCCCUCCCUGAUUGCUGCUCAGGUUGUGAGCCUCCUCAGCCUCACAGGCAGGAAAACUCUGUGUCAUUAUCCCUUCAUUUCUUCUCCUGAAGUCUCUUCCUCACUGGAGAGGCUGUGAACCUAUAUGGCUUGGUUUGCAUAGAGUUAACAAUUUUUUCACUUUAGUUGCCAUUAUUUUCCAGGAUUUUCUGAAGUUUUACAUUUCAGAAAAUAUUAACUGCUAGUUACUCUUGAAAAAAUAAGAUAUGGCUCCACUGUCUCCUUCCCUAGAUGGCAAAAUCAGCUGGUGCUGAGUAGGGGCUGCUCCUGCUGGACUAUGUAUCACAGUCCCCACAACUCCAGGCUCACAACUUGCUUAAACAACCUGUCCAAGCCCUGUGGGCAUUUAGGUUUGUGACCCUUGCCUAAGCAUGCCCAAUGCUUAUUCCUCUAAAACUUGCCCUUUCUUCCCCUCCUCCUCAUAACCCCAUCCUUGUUCCCACUUGGAGCUUUGCAUCUCUCCCCUGUGCCAUCACACUAGCCUCCUUGACCUUCCUUUCUCUAGCCUUGCCUCUUCCAGUCCACUGCCAUGUCACACUCCUGCUCAAGAACCAGCAAUGGCUCCCCAUUGCCUUCCCAGGCACCACCUGACUUUCUACAAAACAAAAAAGUAUUACAAUAGGAAUAUUUUAUGUCCAAAGAAAAGUCUAGAGAACAGCAUGACAAACACCCAUGUGCCCACCACCCCAGCUUAAGACAUAAACCACUUCAAGUAUAUUUAAAGCCCUUAUUACAACAUUCCCUUCCCUCUCUCCCUCACGGUCACUACUCUCUUGAAUUUGCUGUCUAUCACUCCCAUGCAUGCUUUUACACUUGUAUUACAUAUGUAUGUGUCGCUAAACAAUAUAUGGUAUUGUGUUGCGUGUUUUCAAACUUUAUAUAUCUGGCAUGAAAUUAUAUUUUCCAUCUGCAACUUGCUUUUUCCAUCUAACAAUAUAUAUUUUUAUUUUAAAAAUUGUAUUGAAGUAUAACAUUCAUACAAAGAGCAACAUUCAUACAAAGAGCACACAAAUUAUAAGUGUACAACCCUGGAUUUUCACAAACUGAAUCAACAGUGUGUUUUUGAGAUUUAGCCUCAGGAUGCAUAAGCUUGCAUUCACCUAUUUUGAGGAUUGUGGAGCAGAGACAGUUUUCCAUUGUCUGAAUGUGUUGCUAUUUAUCCAGUUUCCAGAUGAUGGACAUUAAGGCUGUGUCCAGCUUUUCACUAUUACAAACGAUGCUGCUAUGAACAUCCUUGUGCAAGUCUCCCGGGCCCCCGUGUGAGGUGUUCUCGAGGGCAAAGCCUGCUCAUCUUCAACCUGAUCAUAUAUAUACUGCCAGGUCGCUGUCCAGCCCCUGGCUCUCGCUGGCUCCCAGCUCAUUCGCCAAGAUCUUCCCACUGCUCCAGGGAGCCCACUAUCCUCCUUGUUGACACCCUGCCCAAACAUGCCACCUCUUUGCCUGCUGCAUACAAGUGUUAAACUCACCUCUCCAUCCAGGCUUUACUAAAACGCUACCUCUUCCAGGAAGCCCUCUUGGGCAGCACUGGGCCUCAGGGUGUCAUCUCCUCUGAGUGACUUCCUCUCACCCCAGUUGUUAGAGCCAGAGAAGAUAGAGACAAACCCAGACCAGACACUGGGGGAAAGGGAAUAUGUUCUGGAGAAAGGAAACAUGGGUAGACUAGUAGGGAGUAUGAGAAGCUGGGGUACGAAACAGAUUGCUUUGGGCCUUGAUGGAUGAGUAGGAGUUUGUCAGGUAGAGAGGUGGGAGGGCAUGUCAGGCACAGGGAAAGGCAGAGGCUGGGCACUGGAACAGUCAUCACUGGGUUGGGGAUGUGAGCAGGGUGGAUGGGUGGUGGAGGAGACUGGAAUAGGGCUGUAAGGAGCCUUGCAGGCCACCCUUUCACCCAUUCUGACCCUUCUGCAUUCAGCUGGCAUUCUCUGGAGAUGGCUGUGUGUGGGAGCCAGGGAAGGCAGGCACAUUCAUUUGACACCUACUGAAUGCCAGGCACCAGUAAAGAGCUUAUACCCAUUAUCUCUUUGGUUUUCUCACCCAAGUUGGCGAUAGAGACUCAUGGUGUCCCCAUUUUACAGGUGGAGGAAUGGGGCUCAAAGAGGGACAGUCUUUUGUCUGUAAC
ensembl:lncRNA